GACGAACGCUGGCGGCGUGCUUAACACAUGCAAGUCGAACGGAAAGGCCCUGCUUUUGUGGGGUGCUCGAGUGGCGAACGGGUGAGUAACACGUGAGUAACCUGCCCUUGACUUUGGGAUAACUUCAGGAAACUGGGGCUAAUACCGGAUAGGAGCUCCUGCUGCAGGGUGGGGGUUGGAAAGUUUCGGCGGUUGGGGAUGGACUCGCGGCUUAUCAGCUUGUUGGUGGGGUAGUGGCUUACCAAGGCUUCGACGGGUAGCCGGCCUGAGAGGGUGACCGGCCACAUUGGGACUGAGAUACGGACCAGACUCGUACGGGAGGCAGCAGUGGGGAAUAUUGCACAAUGGGCGGAAGCCUGAUGCAGAAACGCCGCGUGCGGGAUGACGGCCUUCGGGUUGUAAACCGCUUUAGCCUGUGACGAAGCGUGAGUGACGGUAAUGGGUAAAGAAGCACCGGCUAACUACGUG
rnacentral:rRNA from 1 species